GUCCAGACUCCUACGGGAGGCAGCAGUGGGGAAUAUUGCACAAUGGGGGGAACCCUGAUGCAGCGACGCCGCGUGAGUGAAGAAGUAAUUCGUUAUGUAAAGCUCUAUCAGCAGGGAAGAAUAAAUGACGGUACCUGAGUAAGAAGCCCCGGCUAACUACGUGCCAGCAGCCGCGGUAAUACGUAGGGGGCAAGCGUUAUCCGGAUUUACUGGGUGUAAAGGGAGCGUAGACGGCUGUGCAAGCCAGAUGUGAAAGCCCGGGGCUCAACCCCGGGACUGCAUUUGGAACUGUGUGGCUGGAGUGUCAGAGAGGCAGGCGGAAUUCCUAGUGUAGCGGUGAAAUGCGUAGAUAUUAGGAGGAACACCGGUGGCGAAGGCGGCUUACUGGACUGUAACUGACGUUGAGGCUCGAAAGCGUGGGGAGCAAACAGGAUUAGAUACCCUCGUA
rnacentral:rRNA from 1 species